AGGUACUGGAAGGUCCUCAGGCCGAAAGGGGCUCUGCCCGCCCGAGGAUGGGCCGGCGGCCGAUUAGGUAGUUGGUGGGGUAACGGCCCACCAAGCCGAAGAUCGGUACGGGCCAUGAGAGUGGGAGCCCGGAGAUGGACACUGAGACACGGGUCCAGGCCCUACGGGGCGCAGCAGGCGCGAAACCUCCGCAAUGCGGGCAACCGCGACGGGGGGACCCCCAGUGCCGUGGCAACGCCACGGCUUUUCCGGAGUGUAAAAAGCUCCGGGAAUAAGGGCUGGGCAAGGCCGGUGGCAGCCGCCGCGGUAAUACCGGCGGCCCGAGUGGUGGCCGCUAUUAUUGGGCCUAAAGCGUCCGUAGCCGGGCCCGUAAGUCCCUGGCGAAAUCCCACGGCUCAACCGUGGGGCUUGCUGGGGAUACUGCGGGCCUUGGGACCGGGAGAGGCCGGGGGUACCCCUGGGGUAGGGGUGAAAUCCUAUAAUCCCAGGGGGACCGCCAGUGGCGAAGGCGCCCGGCUGGAACGGGUCCGACGGUGAGGGACGAAGGCCAGGGGAGCGAACCGGAUUAGAUACCCGGGUAGUCCUGGCUGUAAAGGAUGCGGGCUAGGUGUCGGGCGAGCUUCGAGCUCGCCCGGUGCCGAAGGGAAGCCGUU
rnacentral:rRNA from 1 species